AUUGCAGGGCACUCUAUCGUCUCAAUUGUUAUUGAGGAGGAAAGUCCGGACACCGAAGUGCAGUAUAGCGGGUAACACCCGUCCAUCGAAAGAUGAGGACAAGUGCAGCAGAAAGCAAGUACAGUUCGGCUGUAGUGAAAUCAGGUAAACUCUAUGCGGUGAAACGCCAUGUAAACCAAUGUUUGAGGGUUGCACGCCCAAAUUGGAGGGUAGGCGGUUAGAGGUUUUGGGUAACCAAGACCCUAGAUAAAUGGUAGGGCUCGACAGAAUCCGGCUUAUGACCUGCAGUCACA
rnacentral:RNase_P_RNA from 1 species